rnacentral:rRNA from 1 species
UACGGGGGGGGGCAAGCGUUGUUCGGAAUUACUGGGCGUAAAGGGCUCGUAGGCGGCCAACUAAGUCAAACGUGAAAUCCCUCAGCUUAACUGGGGAACUGCGUCUGAUACUGGAUGGCUUGGAUUUGGGAGAGGGAUGCGGAAUUCCAGGUGUAGCGGUGAAAUGCGUAGAUAUUGGGAGGAACACCGGUGGCGAAGGCGGCCCUCUGGACCGGUACUGACGCUGAUGCGCGAAAGCGUGGGGAGCAAACGGG